CGUGUGGUGUCCGGCAAAGCACCGGAUAGCGACACGGCCUGAUAUUGAGGU
rfam:Vibrio aerogenes CECT 7868 genome assembly, contig: 0001